UACACGUUAUAAGAAUUUUAGCAAUCUUGAUAAUGGCAAGUGAGAUCACAUUCCUCAGGAGAUGCAAUGAGAAUAUAAAUAUAAAAAUAAUAGAGAUGAAUAUGAAAGAUCAUUGAGAAGCAUCAAUCGAGGAUUAUGCUACAUCCAAGGAGAGAUCUCUCAGCCUUCCACUUCAGUUACAGACUGCACUGGCUCCACUACUGGAGGUAUGCAAUCCACCUUGUAGCGAAGCACCUUCUUAAAAAAGGUUGAAUACGAAUUGUCCCAAAUCAACUUAUAGUUUCCGACCAUACAUGUGCAGAAGUUUCCUUGGUCAGACUCAUAGCGCUGGUAAGGUAAUAUCAGAACUUUUUCCCCAGAAGAAUUUGUAAACUCCACACUAAAUCCAAUAUCCAUGUUUAUCUUGCCUUGCACCAAUGAGAAAUCCCAAGCGAUGUACGAGUUUAUUGAGUCCACAGUCAAAGAAACCUCAUAAGUUUUUCCAGCUGCAACACUUAUCUCUUUGUGUUCAUCACUUUUCCUUGUUUCUAAUGCACCAGUAGUGUCUGCUGAUAUUAAGAAUGGUGAAUUUGCGAAGACCUCACCCAUAAAUUUGAUGAACCUCUCAAACUCAGUGGUGUAGACAUCAAUAGCUUGUUCCAAGAAAGCAACAUGUUGCCUCUUUAAAUUUCCAUCGUCAAACCGCCCCCAUAAUACCAAAACAAAAAGUCGAAUAUAAAUCACCAUCGUUGUAAGGCUAUAUAAAGGUGGUCCAUAACGUUGUCGUUGCUCUUCCAUGGGCCCUUCGUCAUCAUUUAUUUUCCGAAUAAAAUCUAGCAAGACCUGUGGAACUCCAACCAAAUACUUCACAAGGGUUUUGUAGACACCUGUUGCGGAACCAAGUUGAGCUAACUGUCUCCUCCUUUCCAUUUGUUGUUUCCACAAUAGAGCAUAUCGAGCGCGUAUACUUCCACCAGAAUUGACCAAAGCAUCAAUCUCCGCUUGCUUAUUCCUCUCUGAGCGCUCCCGUUGUUGUCUAAUUAGUGUUCCCCGAAAAUCUUGAGGCAUGUAAGUCAUAACUGUAUUAAACACACGGUCAGAAUUCUUGGAUUGGAACAAUUCCAAAAUCUUCAAAGCGUUUUGAAGUUUAUCUUUGAGGUGUCUGAGAACAGUAGCAAGCUCAGCAUCAUCAGGUGUUGACUGCUGCUGAAGCACCACUGGCCAAUGAGAGGUUUCAAGUAAAAAAAGAAUUUCUUCAAUGUGUUCUCGAUUCUUCCACAUGUUCUCAUCGAUUUUAUGUGGAGGCUGACGGUCUGCUUCAUCCAACAAUAAUCUUUCAUCUUCAGUGGGAGGAAGAUGGUUGAGCAAAUCGUCAGCCAUCGAGCGAAUCUCGGAGGAAAGGCGAGAAACGUCAUCGGACGGAGGUGCAAAUGGGUACUUGUCGUAAUAAGAAGCCAGAUAACUCCUGGUUAUCGGUACCAGACCGUCGGUAGAAGCCAUUUCUUAUUUCUUAUCUCUUUAAUUUUCACAAUUUGAAUAAGGACUUUUUGCCGGAUCGACCGGAGAGAACGCCUAUCAAUUCCCUCUCACCACAUUCUUUACAUCAACAAGGACUCAAGGAGCACCGAAACAACGGUUUUGGAAGAGGAAAGUAAGUCGACGCCACUGCGUGCGGUACAUCUGAGACGUGGGCCCUCUUCAAUUUCUUUCCAAUGGCAAGAGUCAAGGCCUUUUACGCUACAACAUGAGUGCUGGCAUGGGGCAUCCUCGGAAGAAUAUCUGAUAGGUAUGCAGUGUUGGCGUGCAAAGAACGGAACAUUAUGGGUUCGGAUGAGGGGCGCCCGGAAAAUGUACGGAGUGCGGCGAGGUUUAUGGCGACGUGCUUGAUCGGAGGGGUGGUUGUGGGGGUCUCGCUGUUGGGCCUAUCUCAGCU
rnacentral:lncRNA from 1 species